rnacentral:rRNA from 1 species
CCUACGGGAGGCAGCAGUGAGGAAUAUUGGGCAAUGGGCGCGAGCCUGACCCAGCAACGCAGCGUGAAGGAAGAAGGCUUUCGGGGUGUAAACUUCUUUUCUGAGGGACGAAAAAAGUGACGGUACCUCAGGAAUAAGCCACCGCUAACUACGUGACAGCAGCCGCGGUAAUACGGAGGUGGCAAGCGUUAUCCGGAUUUAUUGGGUGUAAAGGGCGUGUAGGCGGGAAAGCAAGUCAGAUGUGAAAGCUAAGGGCUCAACCCUGAGACUGCAGUUGACACUGUUUUUCUUGAGUGCUGGAGAGGCAAUCGGAAUUCCGGGUGUAGCGGUGAAAUGCGUAGAUAUAAGGAGGAACACCAGUGGCGAAGGCGGAUUGCUGGUCAGUAACUGACGCUGAGGCGCGAAAGCGUGGGGAGCAAACAGGAUUAGAUACCCUUGUAGUC